rnacentral:rRNA from 1 species
GUGAGGAAUAUUGCGCAAUGGAGGCAACUCUGACGCAGCCAUGCCGCGUGCAGGAAGAAGGCGCUACGCGUUGUAAACUGCUUUUAACCGGGAAGAAACCCCAGGACGUGUCCUGGGUUGACGGUACCGGAGGAAUAAGCACCGGCUAACUUCGUGCCAGCAGCCGCGGUAAUACGAAGGGUGCAAGCGUUAUCCGGAUGCAUUGGGUUUAAAGGGUGCGUAGGCGGAGCGUUAAGUCAGUGGUGAAAUCCUGCAGCUUAACUGUAGACUUGCCAUUGAUACUGGCGCGCUUGAGUGCGCUUGAAGUGGGCGGAAUGUGCCGUGUAGCGGUGAAAUGCUUAGAUAUGGCACAGAACACCAAUUGCGAAGGCAGCUCACUAAGGCGAUACUGACGCUGAGGCACGAAAGCGUGGGGAUCGAACAGGAUUAGAUACCCGUGUAGUCC